rnacentral:tRNA from 1 species
AAUGAAGUGCCUGAGCUAAAAGGGCUAUUUUGAUAGAAUAGAUUAUGUAUAUAUUAUACCUUCAUUG